GCCAGGCAUGAUGGCGGGUGCCUGUAAUCCCUGCUACUUGGGAGGCUGAGGCAGGAGAAUCGCUUGAACCCAGGAGGCAGAGGUUACAGUGAGCUGAGAUUGAGCCACUGAACUCCAGCCUGGGUGACAGAGCGAGACUCUGUCUCAA
rfam:Gorilla gorilla gorilla genomic chromosome, chr20, whole genome shotgun sequence